GGGUCAGUAGGUUGGUCGUGCCACCGGUACGUACUGGUCUCACUGAUUCCUCCUUCCUGAAGAACCAUAAUGCCAUUAAUUUGGUGUUGCGGGGAAACAGGACUGUUACUUUGAAAAAAUUAGAGUGUUUAAAGCAAGCUAACGCUUGAAUACAUUGGCAUGGAAUAAUGAAAUAGGACGAUCGAUCCUAUUUUGUUGGUUUCUAGGAUUGACGUA
rnacentral:rRNA from 1 species